UGGGCAUCCUUAAUCCCUGUGAUUAUAAUCUUAGCUAUUGGAAUGGAGCUUCAACCAUUUUGACACAGAUGGCUCUUGAAAUUACCGAAAGACAUGCGGUGGUGCAAGGGAUGCCACUUGUACAGGGCUCGACAAAUACUUUUGGUUUGGUCGGCCUCAUUUAGUGCUUCAUCUCAUUCACUUCGCUUUGUUUCAGAAGGUCACAAUGGAUAGAAGAUUAAACAGUUGGAGGACCAGCU